ACAACGGAGAGUUUGAUCCUGGCUCAGGACGAACGCUGGCGGCGUGCUUAACACAUGCAAGUCUAGGGAAAGUUUCGCUUCGGUGAAACGGAUACUGGCGCACGGGUCAGUAACGCGUAUGCAAUCUACCCUUAAUCCGGGGAUAACAUUUCUAACGAGGUGCUAAUACCCGAUAAUGCAGCGGCACCGCAUGGUGACAGUUGUUAAAGUUUCGGU
rnacentral:rRNA from 1 species